ACACAUGGUGGAAUACUACUCAGCCAUGAAAAGAUGAAAUCCUGCCAUGUGUGAUAAUGUGUAUGAAUCUUGAAGUUCUGCUGAAUGAAAUAAAUCAGAGGACAGGUCUCAUAUGAUUAAUUCACAUAUGGGAUAUAAAAACAAACAAAAUAAAUGAACAAACCAAACAAAACCAAGCACAUAGAUGCAGACAACAGAGUAGUGGUUACCAGAGGAGAAAAAGGGCAGAGGGAAGGUGACCUGGAUAAAGGGGAUCAACCCUCUGUAGAUGGAUUGAACCCCUUGUCUCAUGUCUCCUGUGUUGACAGAUGGGUUCUCAGUAAUAAAUCUAAGCAGAUUCCUAAAACUAUGUGAAAAUUAACCACACUGUCUCCAUAGUGAAUUGCUGAAUCGAGCUUGCUUUUAUGUGUCAGCUUCUGAAGUGAGUAACAAAUAUUGUGAAUGUUAGCCACUGUAUCAGCUCUUAGCAUUGAUUUUCAGAGUCUCCCCAAAUUACAUAAACUCUCUCUGGUCCGGCCAGCUUUAUUGCCCUGCAUUUACCUUUACCCCAGUACUUUAAAGGAAGAGAUACACAGGUACCAUCUGUUUGCUUAGUCAACAGAUACUACACACCUACUCUGUGCCAGAUUGUGAUCUGGACACUGGAGGUCUCUGCCCUUAUGAAGAGUUUGUUCACAUUCUUUUUGUCUUAAUAUCCACAGUUUAAUAAGGUACCAUCCCAUCAAAGGUCAGAAAACAAGUGAAAAAUUUUGUAUGCUUAUUAGAGUUUGUUACAUAUGCAAGAAACAGGCCUUUUCUUGUUCAAGAACGUCUUGAAUGUGUCUGCGCUGUUGUACAUAGAGAACAUCUUAAGAGACAAUUCUUAUUUAGAAAAUAGUUGUUGGUGAAUUAAAGAAUUGAAUUGAAAUCGCCUUGUUGAAAUUGUUCAGCUUCUUUUCCUAAGGUAAGAACUCUGGUGUGUGCUAUAUAAUUUCUUUUCAUUGCCUUUUUCUGAUUAUGUGAAUAAGACAAGCACUUGAGGGCUUUCUGAAUUCUUUAAUACAAUCUUAGAGGCACGCAUUUGGUUGAGGUUCUCAUCUGGCAGGACUCAUAUUUUAGGGAGCUGGACUAGGUGUCAUUUCUUUUAGGCAUGGGGCAGUUGGGUUACUAAUGGAAGAAUUUUCAGUUUAUAUGUUAUUUUCCUAAAUAUACUUAUGUAAGUAGCUCUGUAGUUAGUAUAUAUAUAUAUUUUAAGUGAGUGGGGAGUACAUUACGACUGAGUAAUUUCAAAGAGUCUCAAGUUCUUAUCAAAUAACCAGAAUAAUUAGAAAAUUUGCUGACCAGGAAGUAUUUACAAAACAUUUUACAGACAUUUUCACCACUUUCUUUGGCUUUAGGAAACAAAAAUGAGAGAGCGAGCACACAGGUGAGAGAGACUGAGGUUUUAAAUUAGUUGUGUUUUUUAACCCUUUGACAAAGUAGCACAGUAUACCAUGCAGACUACCUAAUAUCACUCCCUAUCAUCUAGUUACAUUCUUUACCUAUCAUCUGUUUAAGUUUUUGCCUACCCUGAUAAACUUGUCUGUUAUUAAAAUCUUCUGUAGUUAAAUUUGGAGAUAGUAAGAAUCUGUAAAUAACAAAUGAGCUCACUGUAAUUUUAUUUCAAGUCUACACACAGAUUUUGAAGCCGUCUUUCUUUAUAGAAGUUCCCCUUGACAGUGAGAAUGUAACUGUCUUCAUUCUACCCCAAAUCUAAUUUUUUUGUUUAAAAUGACUGUUGUUAGUGGGUAUUAUGCUUAGUGAAAUAAGUCAGAGAGAGAAAAAUACCAUAGAUUAUUGCUUAUAUGAAGAAUCUAAAAAAUAAAUAAAUGAAUGUAGCGAAACAGAAACAGGCUCACAGAUACAGAGAGCAAACUAGUGGUUGCCGGUGGAGAGAUAGAAAGAGGUGGGCAAAUUGGAGGUAGGAGGUUUAGAGAUACAAACUACUGUAUGUAAAUUAAAUAAGCUACAAGGACAUAGUGUACAGUUCAAGGA